rnacentral:tRNA from 2 species
UCCGCCUUGGUGUAAUUGGCAACACUCCUGGUUUUGGUCCAGGCAUUCUAGGUUCGAGUCCUAGGGGCGGAG